rnacentral:rRNA from 1 species
AUACGGAGGGUGCAAGCGUUGUUCGGAAUCACUGGGCGUAAAGGGCGCGCAGGCGGUUUGGUAAGUCAGAUGUGAAAGCCCACGGCUCAACCGUGGAAGUGCAUUUGAAACUGUCAGACUAGAGUACUAGAGGGGAAAGUGGAAUUCCCGGUGUAGAGGUGAAAUUCGUAGAUAUCGGGAGGAAUACCGGUGGCGAAGGCGACUUUCUGGCUAGAUACUGACGCUGAGGCGCGAAAGCGUGGGGAGCAAACAGGAUUAGAAACCCUAGUAGUCC